AUUCCAGCUCCAAUAGCGUAUAUUAAAGUUGUUGCAGUUAAAAAGCUCGUAGUUGGAUCUCAGGGUGAGCUCAGUUGGUCGGCCUAACUGGUCAGAACUGGCUGACUCUCCCUUGUUUCUGAAUCCCGAUCGGGGGUUAUACUUCGGUUGUGGACUUCAGAUCGUUUACCUUGAAAAAAUUAGAGUGUUCAAAGCGGGCGUUUGCUUGAAUACAUUAGCAUGGAAUAAUGGAAUAGGACCCUGGUCCUAUUUUGUUGGUUUUGAGGACUAGAGUAAUGAUUAAUAGGGAUAGUUGGGGGCAUUCAUAUUUAAUUGUCAGAGGUGAAAUUCUUGGAUUUAUGAAAGAUGAACUUCUGCGAAAGCAUUUGCCAAGGAUGUUUUCAUUA
rnacentral:rRNA from 1 species